CAUUAGUGAAUUUAGGGUGACUAUUCGUAGUGCCCGACCUCCACUUCUAACACUGUGCACUUAUUGGCGAGGCUAAUAGAGAAUUGAAAAAUAAUCUAUUAACCUUGCGGCUUUAUUUUAUAACUCCAAGUUAAAGAAUGUAAACCAAUUAAAAACAAAAAAAAACUUUCAACAACGGAUCUCUUGGCUCUCGCAUCGAUGAAGAACGCAGCGAAAUGUGAUAAGUAAUGUGAAUUGCAGAAUUCAGUGAAUCAUCGAAUCUUUGAACGCACCUUGCGCUCCCUGGUAUUCCGGGGAGCAUGCCUGUUUGAGUGUCAUGAACUCUUCAACCCACCGGUUUCUUGUAGACUGUUGUGGUGUUUGGAUUUUGAAUGUUGCUGGCUCUUCGGAGCGAAGCUCGUUCGUAAUACAUUAGCAUUUCUAAUUCGAAUUCGGAUUGACUCAGUGUAAUAGACUAUUUCGCUGAGGACACUAGUAAUAGUGGCCGUAUUCAAUACAAGAGAAGCUUCUAAUCCCUCUAGUCAACUUUAGAUUAGACCUCAAAUCAGGUAGGAUUACCC
rnacentral:rRNA from 1 species